AGCAGCCGCGGUAAUUCCAGCUCCAAUAGCGUAUAUUAAAGUUGCUGCAGUUAAAAAGCUCGUAGUUGAAUUUCGGGACUAAUAUGUCGGUCGUGCCUCGGUACGUACUGGUUUAUUGGUUUCUCCUUUCUGAAGAACCAUGAUGUCAUUUAUUUGGUGUCGUGGGGAAUCAGGACUGUUACUUUGAGAAAAUUAGAGUGUUUAAAGCAGGCUCACGCUUGAAUACAUUAGCAUGGAAUAAUGAAAUAGGACGUUUGAUUCUAUUUUGUUGGUUUCUAGGAUCGACGUAAUGAUUAAUAGGGAUAGUUGGGGGCAUUAGUAUUCAAUUGUCAGAGGUGAAAUUCUUGGAUUUAUUGAAGACUAACUACUGCGAAAGCAUUUGCCAAGGAUGUUUUCAUUAAUCAAGAACGAAAGUUAGGGGAUCGAAGACGAUCAGAUACCGUCGUAGUC
rnacentral:rRNA from 1 species